UCCAGCGUUGGAGUCAGCCAGGGCCUACCUGGAAGAUUGAAUGCCUACUUGGCUUUCUUUCUGUCAGCCUCUUGCGACUGGA
rnacentral:miRNA from 1 species